AGGGUACUUGCAAUCCCUUUUUGGUGUAUACUCUCUUAGAAUUGAAAAUGUUGAAGUUAGAAGGCCACCCAGUGACGAUGUUAAAAUCCUCGGCGUUGCAAAUCCUAACGAUUUCAAGAACAUGUCUCCAUCCAAGUCUUUACGAUUCUACUCGUUCUUGGGAGCUGCUGUUAAUGCAGAAACUAGAGGAAGUUGGAAGCUCUGUCAAGAUGUUGUACCGAAUGAUGCAUGGGCUGAACCGUGUCAUACCCUGUUGUUAAAGAGAAUGUGAAUGACUUGUCGAACCCUGUUGUUGCUGCUAAAGUGCGGGUGAAAUGCUGGAAUCAAAUCACCGCUGAACUCCUGAGUGAGGAGAAU